rnacentral:rRNA from 1 species
GUGCCAGCAGCCGCGGUAAUACGGAGGGUCCGAGCGUUAUCCGGAAUCAUUGGGUUUAAAGGGUCCGCAGGCGGUCAAUUAAGUCAGAGGUGAAAUCCCAUAGCUUAACUAUGGAACUGCCUUUGAUACUGGUUGACUUGAGUUAUAUGGAAGUAGAUAGAAUGUGUAGUGUAGCGGUGAAAUGCAUAGAUAUUACACAGAAUACCGAUUGCGAAGGCAGUCUACUACGUAUAUACUGACGCUCAUGGACGAAAGCGUGGGGAGCGAACAGGAUUAGAUACCCUGGUAGUCCACGCCGUAAACGAUGGACACUAGUUGUUGGGAUUUAUCUCAGUGACUAAGCGAAAGUGAUAAGUGUCCCACCUGGGGAGUACGAUCGCAAGAUUGAAACUCAAAGGAAUUGACGGGGGCCCGCACAAGCGGUGGAGCAUGUGGUUUAAUUCGAUGAUACGCGAGGAACCUUACCAGGGCUUAAAUGUAGUCUGACAGCUUUAGAGAUAGAGUUUUCUUCGGACAGAUUACAAGGUGCUGCAUGGUUGUCGUCAGCUCGUGCCGUGAGGUGUCAGGUUAAGUCCUAUAACGAGCGCAACCCUUGUCGUUAGUUGCCAGCAUGUAAAGAUGGGGACUCUAACGAGACUGCCGGUGCAAACCGAGAGGAAAGUGGGGAUGACGUCAAAUCAUCACGGCCCUUACGUCCUGGGCCACACACGUGCUACAAUGGUAUGGACAA